rnacentral:rRNA from 1 species
GUUGAACGCUGGCGGAAUGCUUUACACAUGCAAGUCGAACGGUAGAGGGGGCAACCCCUCGAGAGUGGCGAACGGGUGAGUAAUAUAUCGGAACGUGCCCAGUCGUGGGGGAUAACGUAGCGAAAGUUACGCUAAUACCGCAUACGAUCUAAGGAUGAAAGCGGGGGAUCGCAAGACCUCGCGCGAUUGGAGCGGCCGAUAUCAGAUUAGGUAGUUGGUGGGGUAAAGGCUCACCAAGCCAACGAUCUGUAGCUGGUCUGAGAGGACGACCAGCCACACUGGAACUGAGACACGGUCCAGACUCCUACGGGAGGCAGCAGUGGGGAAUUUUGGACAAUGGACGCAAGUCUGAUCCAACCAUUCCGCGUGCAGGAUGAAGGCCCUCGGGUUGUAAACUGCUUUUGUACGGAACGAAAAGGUCUCUCUUAAUACGGGGGGCUCAUGACGGUACCGUAAGAAUAAGCACCGGCUAACUACGUGCCAGCCGCCGCGGUAA